AGCAGCCGCGGUAAUUCCAGCUCCAAUAGCGUAUAUUAAAGUUGCUGCAGUUAAAAAGCUCGUAGUUGAAUUUCGGGACCAUCAUGUCGGUCGUGCCUAGGUACGUACUGGUAUUGUUGGUUUCUCCCUCCUGACGAACCAUGAUGUCAUUUAUUUGGUGUUGUGGGGAAUCAGGACUGUUACUUUGAAAAAAUUAGAGUGUUUAAAGCAGGCUCACGCUUGAAUACAUUAGCAUGGAAUAAUGAAAUAGGACGUUUGAUUCUAUUUUGUUGGUUUCUAGGAUCGACGUAAUGAUUAAUAGGGAUAGUUGGGGGCAUUAGUAUUCAAUUGUCAGAGGUGAAAUUCUUGGAUUUAUUGAAGACUAACUACUGCGAAAGCAUUUGCCAAGGAUGUUUUCAUUAAUCAAGAACGAAAGUUAGGGGAUCGAAGACGAUCAGAUACCGUCGUAGU
rnacentral:rRNA from 1 species